rfam:Oryza brachyantha chromosome 10, whole genome shotgun sequence.
AAUAAACCAAUUUUUCACUUUUUAUCUAUAAUCUUUGACUCUUUGUUUUAUUUAAAAAAAUUUUACGAUUGAUAUUUUUGUUUUUAUUAGAUGAUAAAUCAUGAAUAGUACUUUACGUGUGACUAAUUUUUUUCUAAUUUUCUGAAAAAUUUUUAAACAAGACGGAUGGUCAAACGCUGGGCACAAAAACUGAAGAAUUGAUUUCUU